CGGUUGAUAAAUCCUUCCUUAUAACUAACUUUGUAUAUUUCUACCUUUAAACUACAGUCGUAUUGUUAAGUGUUGUACCUUUAUUAAUCGUUUAAUGUUUUUAGUAAAUUAAAACAGUCAACAAACGUAUUUAGACACGGAUGUUACAACAGGACACAUCAAGCAAUCUCUUUUAACAAAGCAAUAGUGAAACGCAGUAACUUAAAUAAAGUAAAAUGUCUUACUGUGAAUUAUACUGCUGUGUCAUUGUUGUCAGAUCCAAUAUAAGUGGUGCUUCUGACUGAGUCUCUCUGCAAAUCCAGCAUCGACUUCUUUACAAAUGAAUCCAUGUCCACAACGUUAACAAACGCUCCCCACACGAGCUGGAACUUCUUCACAAGCAAACUUUAUCCACGCAUAUUGCUAAUGUUAAGUUCCAAGCCUCCGAAUUGAAGUAUUUAGCUUCUGUGUUGUUCCCACGCGGUUCUUCCACAACCGAAAAUGCGUUUCCAUGGUAUCAUAACAGAUCACCGCGUCAAAAUAAAAGUCUCUCAGAAAAAAAUGUAUUUAAAAAGUCAUUUUGGUUAAAUUUGUCAAUCUUUAAAGACAUGUUUACUUACUGAGACACACGUGUCACGCGAAGCUGUGGGCGGGGCUACAAAAGUAGACUUGUCCUUUUGGUUAUGGGGAGGUGUUUCAAUUCUACUUUGACGUCAUAGAUUUCCGAAUUUUAGACUGGAGUGUUUAGCUGGCUUGGUGCCAAAGACGGUUAUAUUUCAGUAGCACGGACGUUUUCAGUUCUGAAACUUGCAGGAUGUUCAUUUAAGUAUGAUGACCUCUUAUAUAACAAAUUAUCAAGUUAAAAUUGAGUUUUUGAUUCACCGCUCCUUUAAUACUCUGUUUAAAACACUUUGGCACUUUAAUACUUACUUGCUACAGAGCAUUAUACACUUUACGAUGUAAUUCCUUUUUAUUUAAAAUAAUGAUCGGACAAAACCAGAACAGAUCGCGUUCCCGACCGGACUCAUUUCAGCGUUACAACAGAUUUACAAUUUCAGCGACGGUGUUGACAUCUCUUCUCCAGAUCAAACUAACAUAAUAUGCUGCAUACCGAUUCAUAUUAUUCAUCUGAACCGUUCUCUAACUGAAUCCAUAGAGCUGUUUGGACGGCCAGACCAACAUCCAAAGGUCGCUACGAACUACCAUUGCCCCAUCUUCACUCUGAGCAAUGUAGAGAAACAUGGAUACCAGGUGUGCUAGAAAUGCAGAAGAGUGGCUACUGGCCUGCAACUGUAAACUUCUGUACCAUUUAUGAUGAGGAAGUCUUUGUGUCCUUCGAAGACUUGAAAAUGGCUGCUCCAGGAUUGUCCCGUUUUGCAUUCAUAAGAAUGCUUGACAUGAAGACAGUGCACUAUGGCAGAACUCAGCUGAAUCUAAAGAAAGACACCGAAAGCCUACAAGAACCUACAAUGAAAAUGAACUGGUUGUAGAUGAUGGUCACAGAUGUUCAGGAGUGGGCACACACUACAACUGUAGGAGACAGUGAUGUUGCAAUUCAGACAACAAGGAACACAAUAGAAGAAUUAUCUUUGUGCAUUAAACAACGGCAGCAUCGUCUUUAUAGACACACUGCCACAAUCAAAGGACGGAAUAAAAUAAGAAGAAAAAUCAAUGAGGAGAAAAAGAAGCUUGCUUUUGCCAUUGAACACCACAAUGCCCUUGUUGACCCCACCCAGAAAAAUUAACCCCUGGAAUCUUCCAGAUGAUGGGAUUCAAGGACUUCAAUGUGUGUUGAAGAGAAAAUUACAUCAGUUAAGAGCUCACCAGGGCACUGUAAAAACAAGUUAUCAGACAAUAGACAUCAUAAACGAACAAAUUACUGUUGAAGAAUGUAAAUAUCCCAGCUGGCCAUAAGGCUCAGAAGCCCUUUAUUCAAGCAGUGCUGAUCUGAGCUCUGAUGAAGAUGAUACAUGUCUGCUGUAGUUAUUUACUAAAUACGUUGCAGUUUUUUUUCUUUCACUUUAUCUAUUACUCUUCUUUCUCAAUCAGUCUUCUCUUUUUUUUUUUUUUUUUCGCUCUGAUUGCAUGUGUGCCUGCCUUAUACCAUGGGAGAUGAAAUAUUAACUUUUUAAUAAAGUAUGGAUUAAAAUGUUAAUUUGGGUUUUUCUGAUGGGAUUUACAGACAUAUAUCCUGUGCAUUUUUACAGACAUGUCCUACAGUGGAUUGCUGGGAUUGGGGGCUGUAAGAGUAUUUUGAGAAAUGUUUCUAUUUUGUGUGCAACAGAAGAUUAUUUCCAAAUCUAAACAAUGAUAAAUAAAAAGUAAUUAUAUUUACUCGUCGUUACUUGCUGUAUUCUUUAAGAAAAUUGCUUUAAAUUGUAAAUUCAUAUAAAUAAUGUACAUGCAUGCGUGUACACUAUUACUAAAGUGUAAAUUGGGAGACAAACAUUACAAUGUUCAAUUCUUUGUGACAUUAAUAAAUUACAAACAAGGAUUUAAUUUUUGAUGGGCAAAUACUUGAAUAGGUCACCAUUACAGUGCUUAUAGUUUUAAUAACAAAGUUUGGGAUAAACACGUUUAAAUACCCUUACGAAAAUUAACCAUGGUUUUACUACAGUUAAAACAAAAAAACCAUGGUUACUGUAGUAAAACCAUAGUAACUACAAAAUUACCAUGGUUUUGACAACCAUGGUUUUCAGAAACCAUAGUUAAACCAUGGUUAGUGUAGUAAAACCAUACACUAAAAUACACCAAAAAAACCAUGGUUACUACACUUUUACUACAAUAAAACCAUGGUUAAUUUUCGUAAGGGUAAAUCUAAAUCAUCAUGUAUUGCGUGUUUCCAGUGACCAGCAUGGAUACGAAGCCUCCGGAGUUCGCAUAUGCAGGCUGCAUACGUCAUCAAGCCUUGUUUAAGUUUACUAUUACAUUCGCAAUGUAUUUAUUUUUUUUAAGAAAUACGAUGAGACAUUUCAUGUAGGCUACCGUUUUGAUUUUUGCCUACUUGUUUUGUUUUUUUUUUCC